rnacentral:rRNA from 1 species
AUACGUAGGGUCCAAGCAUUAUCCGGAUUGACUGGGUGUAAAGAGUUGCGUAGGUGGUUUGUUAAGUAGGUAGUGAAAUCUGGUGGCUCAACCAUUCAGACUAUUACCUAAACUGGCAAACUCGAGAACGUUAGGGGUAGCUGGAAUUUCUAGUGUAGGAGUGAAAUCCGUAGAUAUUAGAAAGAACACCGAUAGCGUAGGCAGGCUACUGGGACGUUUCUGACACUAAGGCACGAAAGCGUGGGGAGCAAACGGGAUUAGAUACCCCGGUAGUCCACGCUGUAAACGAUGGAUGCUAGCAGUUCCCGGUAUCGACCCCGGAAGUUGCGAAGCUAACGCGUUAAGCAUCCCACCUGUGUAGUACGAUCGCAAGAUUAAAACUUAAAGGAAUUGACGGGG